rnacentral:rRNA from 1 species
UACGAAGGGGGCUAGCGUUGUUCGGAAUUACUGGGCGUAAAGCGCGCGCAGGCGGUCUUUCAAGUUGGGGGUGAAAUCCCAGAGCUCAACUCUGGAAUUGCCUUCAAGACUGUGAGACUUCGAGUACGGGAGAGGUGAGUGGAAUUCCCAGUGUAGAGGUGAAAUUCGUAGAUAUUGGGAAGAACACCGGUGGCGAAGGCGGCUCACUGGCCCGUUACUGACGCUCAGGCGCGACAGCGUGGGGAUCAAACAGG